UUUAGCGUGUGCGCGAGUCAUUGGGUGUCAAACCUAAAGGCGUAAUGAAAGUGAAGGAAACUUUGUUUUUGAGGGAGGAUGGGUUAGGUACCUUUUUUAAAGGACCGGCCUCGCACUCCCGGGGCGUCUCUAUCUCAUUGCGAGAGGAGGCGCACCUAGAGCGUACACGCUGAUACCCGAAAGAUGGUGAACUAUGCCUGGCCAGGACGAAGCCAGGGGAAACCCUGGUGGAGGUCCGCAGCGAUUCUGACGUGCAAAUCGAUCGUCGGAGCUGGGUUUAGGGGCGAAAGACCAAUCGAACACUUAGUAGCUGGUUCCUUCCGA
rnacentral:rRNA from 1 species